GCCAGGUACUGUGCUAAAUGAUGGGGCUGCAGAAAUCAAAGCAAAAAGCAAAUGUGUGGCCCUCAGGAGCCUGUGGUCUACUGAGGAAGACAAAAAGUCAAACUGUGAAUGACAACACAGUGCCAGCACUCCACGGCGAAGACCACAAGGGUGCUGUGGAAUUACACCAGAGGAGCAGCGCCUAACUUAGACUAGAGAGAGGACAGUUAUUAGAGAGAUGGUCAGAAAAAGCUGCUCAGAGGAGAUUCUGUCCAAAAUGAGUCUUGUAGGCUGGGUAGGUAAGUCAAGUGAAGGAGAAGGCUAUGCAAACAGAGAAAGCAACAACAGCAAAGAGAAAGAGCAGGGGUUAGCACAGAUGGAACUCACAGAACACUGGGGCUGGGAAAGGUGAAGCCCCAAGCAAACGGUCAACCGCUUGUAAGGAGUUGAGAAUUUAUCCUGAAGGUGACAGCGGGCCAGGGAAGAAAUUUCAGAAUGCAAGACCAUCAAGGCAAGGAUGUUAAUUUUCUUCAAUGAGGUAUCUCCUGUGUCUGGAAUGAUAUAAGGCUCAUCCCAGAUGAUGAAUGAACAGUGAAUCUGUGGAGCUUCAGCAUCCUCACCUAAGAUGGGAAUAGCUAUGCCCAUCUCCCGAGAUUAUUGUGGAGAUCAGAUGUUAUGCGUACAAAGCACAGGGCAUGAUACCUGAUACACAUCUUGCUCUAUAAAGACUGGUAGAGGAGUGUGUUGUUAUUGUUAUCAAUAUCAUUAUCAUUUUUAUCCAUAAAAUGAAGAUUAUAAAACCUAAGUUGCUGUGAAUAUUGAGACAAAGUAUGAAAAGUACCUGGCAACUGGAGAUGUUUAAUAAACUGGAAUUUAUUUUCUC